UACGUAGGGUGCGAGCGUUAAUCGGAAUUACUGGGCGUAAAGCGUGCGCAGGCGGUGAUGUAAGACAGUUGUGAAAUCCCCGGGCUCAACCUGGGAACUGCAUCUGUGACUGCAUCGCUGGAGUGCGGCAGAGGGGGAUGGAAUUCCGCGUGUAGCAGUGAAAUGCGUAGAUAUGCGGAGGAACACCGAUGGCGAAGGCAAUCCCCUGGGCCUGCACUGGACGCUCAUGCACGAAAGCGUGGGGAGCAAACAGG
rnacentral:rRNA from 1 species